rnacentral:rRNA from 1 species
UACGGAGGGGGCUAGCGUUGUUCGGAAUUACUCGGCGUAAGGCGCACGUAGGCGGCUUUGCAAGUCAGAGGUGAAAGCCCGGGGCUCAACCCCGGAAUUGCCUUUGAGACUGCAUCGCUAGAAUUGUGGAGAGGUAAGUGGAAUUCCGAGUGUAGAGGUGAAAUUCGUAGAUAUUCGGAAGAACACCAGUGGCGAAGGCGACUUACUGGACACAUAUUGACGCUGAGGUGCGAAAGCGUGGGGAGCAAACAGG